UGGGGAGUCGUCUAAUUGGCAGGACAGCAGACUCUGGAUCUGUGGGUCGGGGUUCGAGUCCCUGCUCCCCAGCCA
rnacentral:tRNA from 1 species